rnacentral:rRNA from 1 species
GGGAGAGUCGACUUGGAGGUUGUGCCCUUGAGGCGUGGCUUCCGGAGCUAACGCGUUAAGUCGACCGCCUGGGGAGUACGGCCGCAAGGUUAAAACUCAAAUGAAUUGACGGGGGCCCGCACAAGCGGUGGAGCAUGUGGUUUAAUUCGAUGCAACGCGAAGAACCUUACCUACUCUUGACAUCCAGAGAACUUUCCAGAGAUGGAUUGGUGCCUUCGGGAACUCUGAGACAGGUGCUGCAUGGCUGUCGUCAGCUCGUGUUGUGAAAUGUUGGGUUAAGUCCCGCAACGAGCGCAACCCUUAUCCUUUGUUGCCAGCGGUUAGGCCGGGAACUCAAAGGAGACUGCCAGUGAUAAACUGGAGGAAGGUGGGGAUGACGUCAAGUCAUCAUGGCCCUUACGAGUAGGGCUACACACGUGCUACAAUGGCGCAUACAAAGAGAAGCGACCUCGCGAGAGCAAGCGGACCUCAUAAAGUGCGUCGUAGUCCGGAUUGGAGUCUGCAACUCGACUCCAUGAAGUCGGAAUCGCUAGUAAUCGUAGAUCAGAAUGCUACGGUGAAUACGUUCCCGGGCCUUGUACACACCGCCCGUCACACCAUGGGAGUGGGUUGCAAAAGAAGUAGGUAGCUUAACCUUCGGGAGGGCGCUUACCACUUUGUGAUUCAUGACUGGGGUGAAGUCGUACAAAGGGUAACCCGGACCGCAGU